UACGUAGGGACCAAGCGUUGUUCGGAUUUACUGGGCGUAAAGGGCGCGUAGGCGGCGUGACAAGUCACUUGUGAAAUCUCCGGGCUUAACUCGGAACGGCCAAGUGAUACUGUCGUGCUAGAGUGCAGAAGGGGCAAUCGGAAUUCUUGGUGUAGCGGUGAAAUGCGUAGAUAUCGGGAGGAACACCAGUAGCGAAGGCGGCACUCUGGGCCGGUACUGACGCUGAGGAGCGAAAGCAUGGGGAGCGAACAGG
rnacentral:rRNA from 1 species